CAGUAGCCGCGGUAAUACGAAGGGGGCUAGCGUUGCUCGGAAUGACUGGGCGUAAAGCGCACGUAGGCGGCUCCGCAAGUCGGAUGUGAAAUCCCUCGGCUUAACCAAGGAAGUGCAUCCGAAACUGCAGAGCUUGAGUACUUAAGAGGAUCGCGGAAUUCCCGGUGUAGAGGUGAAAUUCGUAGAUAUCGGGAGGAACACCAGUGGCGAAGGCGGCGAUCUGGGAAGAUACUGACGCUGAGGUGCGAAAGCGUGGGGAGCGAACAGGAUUAGAUACCCCCGUAGUCCCUGUCUCUUAUAC
rnacentral:rRNA from 1 species